rnacentral:rRNA from 1 species
AGUUGCGUGAAGGUAGAGCACUGAAUAUGUGAUGGCCCCAUCUCGGGGUACUGAGCAUAAUCAAACUGCGAAUGUCACGCCAACAUGCUCGGCAGUCAGACAGCGGGUGAUAAGGUCCGUUGUCAAGAGGGAAACAGCCCAGACCAUCAGCUAAGGUCCCAAAAUGUAUGCUAAGUGGAAAAGGAUGUGGAGAUGUACAGACAACUAGGAGGUUGGCUCAGAAGCAGCCAUCCUUUAAAGAGUGCGUAACAGCUCACUAGUCGAAUGACUCUGCGCCGAUAAUUUACCGGGGCUAAGCAUACUACCGAAGCUAUGGAUCCCAAGGGAUGGUAGGGGAGCGUUCCAUGAACGGAGAAGCGCGAUCGAGAGGACGCGUGGAGAUCAUGGAAGAGAGAAUGCCGGUGUGAGUAGCGGAACGUGGGUGAGAAUCCCACGCACCGAAAACCCAAGGUUUCCAGAGGAAGGUUCGUCCGCUCUGGGUAAGUCGGGACCUAAGGCGAGGCCGAAAGGCGUAGUCGAUGGACAACAGGUAGAGAUUCCUGUACCCGUAUAUAUGUGAAGGAAUGACGGAGAGAGGAAGCUGCAGCCAGCGGCUGGAAGAGCUGGUGCAAGCGAGAUAUCGGGAUGGCAGGCAAAUCCACCAUCCGAAACGAGAAGGCGUGAAGCGUACGGAAAGCUACGGCGAGUACGGAAGGCAGUGGAGGAACUUCCAAGAAAAGUUUCUAACGUAAAGUAUAUAUGGCCCGUACCGAAAAUGGACACACAUGGGUGAGGAGAGAAUCCUAAGGUGAGCGAGAGAACUAUAGCUAAGGAACUCUGCAAAAUGACUCCGUAACUUAGGGAGAAGGAGUGCUCAUAGAGAUAUGAGCCGCAGUGAAACGGCCCAAGCGACUGUUUACCAAAAACACAGCUCUCUGCUAAGCCGCAAGGCGAAGUAUAGGGGGUGACGCCUGCCCGGUGCUGGAAGGUUAAGGGGAGGGGUUAACGCAAGUGAAGCCCUGAACUGAAGCCCCAGUAAACGGCGGCCGUAACUAUAACGGUCCUAAGGUAGCGAAAUUCCUUGUCAGGUAAGUUCUGACCCGCACGAAAGGCGUAACGAUUUGGGCGCUGUCUCAGCUGUAGACUCGGUGAAGUCUUAGUACCUGUGAAGAUGCAGGUUACCCGCGACUAGACGGAAAGACCCCAUGGAGCUUCACUGCAGGUUGAUAUUGGGAUUUGAUGCAGCAUGUACAGGAUAGGUAGGAGGCAAAGAGAUGGAUACGCCAGUAUUCAAGGAGCCGCUGUUGGGAUACUACCCCUGUUGUAUUGGAUUUCUAACCGGACGACGUAGAGCCGUUGACGGGACAGUGUCAGUCGGGCAGUUUGACUGGGGCGGUCGCCUCCCAAAGAGUAACGGAGGCGCCCAAAGAUACCCUCAGCUUGGAUGGAAACCAAGCGCAGAGUGCAAAGGCAAAAGGGUGUUUGACUGCGAGACCCACAAGUCGAGCAGGGACGAAAGUCGGGCUUAGUGAUCCGGCGGUGCUGAAUGGAAAGGCCGUCGCUCAACGGAUAAAAGCUACCCUG